rnacentral:tRNA from 1 species
UCCCUGGUGGCUCAGAUGGUAAAGCAUCUGCCUGCAAUGCAGGAGACGCAGGUUCAACCCCUGGGUUGAGAA